GGGGGUGGAGAAGGGGUAUAGCUCAGUGGUAUAACAGCUGCUUUGUACACAGAAGGCCCUGGGUUCAAUCCCUGGCAUCUCCA